rnacentral:rRNA from 1 species
UACGGAGGGUGCAAGCGUUGUCCGGAUUUAUUGGGUUUAAAGGGUGCGUAGGCGGCUAAUUAAGUCAGCGGGGAAAUUCCACAGCUCAACUGUGGAACUGCCAUUGAUACUGGUUGGCUUGAGUACAGAUGAGGUAGGCGGAAUUGACAGUGUAGCGGUGAAAUGCUUAGAUAUUGUCAAGAACACCUAUUGCGAAGGCAGCUUACUAAGCUGUAACUGACGCUGAGGCACGAAAGCGUGGGGAUCAAACAGG